CACGGGUGAGUAACACGUAUGCAAUCCACCUGUAACAGGGGGAUAACCCGGAGAAAUCCGGACUAAUACCCCAUAAUAUGGGCGCUCCGCAUGGAGAGCCCAUUAAAGAGAGCAAUUUUGGUUACAGACGAGCAUGCGCUCCAUUAGCCAGUUGGCGGGGUAACGGCCCACCAAAGCGACGAUGGAUAGGGGUUCUGAGAGGAAGGUCCCCCACAUUGGGACUGAGACACGGCCCAG
rnacentral:rRNA from 1 species